rnacentral:misc_RNA from 1 species
AGGCCCGCCUCCACUCGACCCUCUCACCGAUCUGUUUGCUUUCUUUGUGAUUUUACUCACGCGUUCGCGUACUUGUGUUCACGCCCACACGUGGUCGACGAUUCCGCGGCUCCCUCUUCGCUGUCUCUCAGUGCAUGUCGCACGCCCCGUACAGGCUGAGCGUUUCGUCUUUUGCUCAACUACUUUUUGUUGUGGCCGCCGCUCGCUCUUCGAGUGUCGCUCGUACACCCGUUAUCGUGUGGUUUCCGCUGAUCCUGUUGCAGCGGGUGUGGGUGCAUGUGCGUACCUGACAAGACCGGAAAGGUGCCUUCUAUACAUUCUUGCUUGGUUGUCUUCCGUCUUGGGCCUCUUGCGUGCACCUCUCCGUCUCGCGCUGUGACCUAAUUCAACUCAUUCUCAACGCUCUCCUUUCUUUUUGUGCCGCUCGGCUUGCUCUCACCGACUCCGUCGCGCCACACCAGGCAUGCCAAUGCAGCCGCCGUUUGCUACGGCGGCGAAAAGCAGUUCUCCAUGGCUGCUUGCACUCGCCUUAUGGCUGCUUGACCAUGUUGCGAUAGAGGCGACCGCGAGUGAGAACGAAGCUAGCGGCUACGCGGCAUGGCCGAAAUGGGUCCUCAUCUUGUUUUGCCUCACCACGGUUCUGCUCUCCGCCAUGUACUGCGGUCUCACGAUUGGGCUGCUUGGGAUGGAAACCAUCUAUCUGGAAAUCAUAGCUGGUGCGGGGCAGGAGCCUGACCGCACCUACGCGCGCAAGAUUCUGCCGGUACGCAUGCUGGGCCACCAGCUCUUGGCGACGUUGCUCGUGGGCAACAUGCUGACUCUGGUGCUGACCUCUCAGCUCGUCGCUGCGAUUGUGGGUGGCAGUGAGCUCGUGAACUUCAUCUUGGGUACACUUGUGGUGCUCAUCUUUGGUGAGAUCAUCCCCAUGAGCUUCUGCAACAAGCAAAACAACGCACUGUGGGCUGGCGCAAAGAGUCUGCAAGCGCUCAAGGUCUCGUUGUUUGUGCUGUGGCCCAUCUCGAAGCCGCUGGGGCUGAUGCUGGACUGGAUGGUGGGACACGAGGCAGGGCAGAUAUACGACCGCCAGGAGCUGAAGAAGCUCAUCCGCAUGCACUGCGAGAAGUUCUCGGACAAGUCGGGCAUCGACAUGGACCAGGUGCGCAUGAUGCUGAGCGUGAUGGACAUGAACGAGGUCACAGCAGAUGCGGCCAUGACACCGAUAGGGAAGGCCGUCAUGCUAGAGGCGAGCACCCCGCUCGACACAGCGCUCGAGCGUCGCUUGUGGGAGUACGGUAUCUCGCGCGUGCCGGUGUACGAACGGUCACGCGACAAUGUGGUUGGUGUGCUCUACGUGAAGGACCUUAUCGACAAUUCCUAUCUCGGCCACAACAGCGACAUGACAGUGCGUGAUUUUGUGUUGCAACACCCGCGCGACAUGUUAGUGGUGAAGGCAGACACCCUUCUGCAGGAGAUGCUGUACAUCUUCGAGCACCAUCACACGCAGCUUCUCUUUGUGGAGUCGGCGGACGCCGCUACCGCGGACCAGCGGCGUGGCUCGCCAAUUAGUUCGCCGCAGCGCGCGAAGGAGAAGCGGCGAGGUCGUGACGGAAUAACGGCCUCCAACAGCAAAGGCGCUUCACCUUACGGUGCAUACCACAUGCACCAUGGCAGCAAGCAUGCCGCACCUGCACAGCGCACGCCGAAGACCAUUCACCCUAUGGCGCUCCUUUCGAACGCGAUGGAGCCGAGCUCUUUUAUUGGCCUUGUGACACUUGAGGACGUUAUCGAGGAGCUCAUCGCGUCGGAGAUUUACGAUGAGGACGAGUACUUGGGUGACAAGAAGUUGCUGUCGGACGCGGAGACCUUCGACGAGUCGACGAUUGAGCCGCCUCCGGCGCGGCCGCCGCGGGUGAACUUCUACUCGUACGGCGUGCCAUCAAAGUCGGAGGAUCGAGGUCUUUCUGAGGAUCAGCUUUGGGCGCUCGCCUACUACCUCACCCGGGCCUACGUGUACUUUGCAACGUGGAAUGUUGCUCAUGUCAAGUUUCUGCUGCAGCAGAUCGGCGACUUGGUGGUGGAAGUCAACGACCAGAUCAGUGACGGUGAGAAGAGCAAGAGCACGCCUCUCUGGGGAAUCGCAGCUGCGUUGCCGGACCUCUACACGGCCGAUCCAGCGCGAGUGCUUUACAGAGCCGGGCAGCCGAGCAGCACUUUCACGCUGGUGCUGAGUGGCGGCGUCGAGGUGAUGAUCGGUCGCGAAAAGAUACGAACGGAGUUGCGUUCCUUCUCCGACCUUGGCGCGGAUGUUCUCUUGUCAGGCGCCCCUUUUCUGCCAGACUACACGGCCGUGGUGUCACGCACCAGCCGUCUCAUCCGCAUUACACAUGCUGAUGUGGUGAUGGUCGAGAAGAAGCUCAACGAGCACCGGGCACGACAGCUUCAGAAGCCGCUAAGUCUGACGCCCACCUCAGGGGCUGGGGCAGCGGCGGCGGUGGCAGCUCCUCCAGCAUGCGCGCCACACAGGAAAGCGAAGGAACGCAUGCGAUGCGAAGCCAAGCGCGUGACGAUCGAGUAGACACUCGACUGUGUUCUAGAGUUCAGCUGCGGAUGGUAAGCAAGAGUUCGGCGGCGGGCAGAGGAGGGGAGGGGCUACAUAGACUAGCCUUCCACUAUUGGGAUGUUGAACCAUGCACUAUCAUGAGGCCCCUGCGUUCUUGAAUGUCGGGACCGGCUGCAUUCCGCUUGCUUCUCCGCGCUUUAUAUCCGCAUCUGUGCCUGUGUUUUGCGCGCAUUGGUGUGCAACGUUGCCCUCCGUUACAUCUCAUUUCCGUGUUAUUAUCAAAGGCUGCCGUCGACAUUGUGCACUCUUCAUUCUCUGUUUCUCCUAUGAAGCUACUCCAUUGAUUCUGGGGGGGGAGGCAGGCUACGGUGGUGUUGGUCUGAGCGAGGGCGUGCUCGCGGUGAGACUGUCUGCUGUGGCUGAUCUGAGCUCAUCUAUAUAUAUAUAUAUAUUCUUGUUUUCGCUGUGGCUCCCCACGUGUGCAUGUGUGUGUUCUCGGUCUCAUUUCGGUUGAGGCGGUUUUCGAGCCAGCAUGGUGCUGGCGCUCUCUGCUUCAAUGAUACUCUGUGUUGAUCACGCUCUGCCCCUUCGCCCAC